rnacentral:tRNA from 1 species
GCCCGCGUGGUGGAAUGGUAGACACGUCGGAUUCAAAAUCCGAUGUCGCAAGACGUGGCGGUUCGAGUCCGCCCGCGGGUACCA